AUGAUCGAGCACCUUGAGGCCAAAGUGAGUGCUGAUAGCUUGAGAUCUCACCCUCUCAUCGAUUUGUUCAUACCAACCAUCGACAGCGAGCACGGCAUAUGCUACACCCAUCCUGAGAAACUUCCAGGUAUCACACUAAGUGGCCUAAGCAAGCAUUUCUUCCAGCGCAAUUCCAGGGCAUUCAAACGGGGCACGUGGACGCGUUGCAAGAUACAGUCGGAGUGCGGCAUGCACGCGAUGUGGCACAACACCGGCAAUACCUUGCCGGUGAUGGUCAAUGGCUGGCAAAUGGGCAGCAAAAAGGUUCUGGUGCUACACACCAACAAGAACUUCGACCAACAGAGGACCAACUUGGUGAUGCACCAGUACCACCUCGGGGACCUGGAGCAAGAGAAGGAGCCGGAGCUGGUCCUCUGCAAGAUUUUCUACCAAACGAACACUAGGGCCAGGAGUAAAAAGAUUAUAAGUUAG
rnacentral:rRNA from 1 species